UACCAAUCUUCAAAGCCUGUUUCUGCGACUUCGUCUUCCGCCUGCGACGUUUGUCAACUCUUUUGGCAGCUGGUCCCUCAGUGCUGAUUCCAGGAUCAGGUACCUCAUUUUUCUGUGUAGUAACAUUGUCAACAAUAUUGUCUGCUUGAUUUUCAGACACAGGGGGGGCAGAUUGAUUCGGUAGAAUAUCCUGAAUAUCCAUGUUGACCUCCAAGGGAGUUGUACCUUCAACCGAGGUACCAAUCUUCAAAGCCUGUUUCUGCGACUUCGUCUUCCGCCUGCGACAUUUGUCAACUCUUUUGGCAGCUGGUCCCUCAGUGCUGAUUCUAGGAUCAGGUACCUCAUUUUUCUGUGUAAUAACAUUGUCAGCAAUAUUAUCUGUUUGAUUUUCAGACAAAGGGGCGGCAGAUUGAUUCGGUAGAAUAUCCUGAAUAUCCAUGUUGACCUCCAAGGGAGUUGUACCUUCAACCGAGUUACCAACCUUCACAGCCUGUUUCUGCAUCUUCCGUGCUCUUUUACUUCGUUUGGCCGCUGCUGUGAUUCCAAGAUCAGGUACCUCAUUUUUGUCCAUUUGAAUUUCAGAUGAAGGGAAAGGAGAUUCGAUGGCUGAUAUAGCCUGGCUAUCAGUGUUGACCUCCAAACAAGUUGAACCUUCACCACCAGAGGUACCAAUCUCCAACACCUGUGCCUUCCUCUUCCGCUCUCGAAUCUCGAGGUGGCAUUUAUUUGGUUUGAUGACCGCUGCUGUGGGGUCUGCACCGCUGAUUACAAGAUCCUUCUGUGUAAUAGCAGUGUCAACACCUUUGUCUGUUUGACUUUCAGACAAAGGGGUUGCAGAUCGGAUGGCUAACGUGUUCACCUCCGAACAAGUUGUACCUUCACCAGAGGUACCAAUCUUCACAUCACGCUUCUUCUUCCUCUUCCGCGGCUGAGUCUCGACAAGGAUUUUAUUUGGUUCGGCCGCUGCCGUGGGACCCUCAGUGCUGAUUCCGAGAUCAGGGACUACCUUCUUCGGUGGAAUAACACAGUCAGCAGAGUUAUCUGUUUGAUUUUCAGACGAAGGGGUGGCAGAGUGGAUGGCUAACAUAGCUGUCCUAGC
rnacentral:lncRNA from 1 species